rnacentral:tRNA from 1 species
GGGGUUGUGGCUCAGUGGUUGAGCACUUGCCUGACAUGCGUGAGGCACUGGGUUCAAUCCUCAGCACCA